GCGGGAAAAGCUCAAAUUUAAAAUCUGGUGGUCUUUGGCCAUCCGAGUUGUAAUUUAGAGAAGCGUCUUCCGCGCUGGACCGUGCAUAAGUCUCCUGGAAUGGAGCGUCAUAGAGGGUGAGAAUCCCGUCUUUGGCAYGGAYCCCAGGGCUUCUGUGAUGCGCUCUCAAAGAGUCGAGUUGUUUGGGAAUGCAGCUCAAAAUGGGUGGUGAACUCCAUCUAAAGCUAAAUAUUGGCGAGAGACCGAUAGCGAACAAGUACCGUGAGGGAAAGAUGAAAAGCACUUUGGAAAGAGAGUGAAACAGUACGUGAAAUUGUUGAAAGGGAAACGCUUGAAGUCAGUCGCGUCGACCGAGACUCAGCCUUGCCUCGGCUUGGUGUACUUCUCGGCUGACGGGUCAGCAUCAAUUUCGAUCCUUGGAUAAUGGCAAGGGAAAGGUAGCACCUUUACAGGUGUGUUAUAGUCCUCUGUCGGAUGCAAGGGUCGGGAUUGAGGAACUCAGCAYGCACCUUUUAGGUGUCGGGGCCUCGGCCUACGUUACGUGCUUAGGAUGCUGGCAUAAUGGCUUUAAACGACCCGUCUUGAAACACGGACCAAGGAGUCUAACAUGCACGCGAGUGUUCGGGUGGAAAACCCGUGCGCGUAAUGAAAGUAAAAGUUGGGACCUCUGUCGUGGAGGGCACCGACGCCCGGACCAGACCUUCUGUGACGGCUCUGCGGUAGAGCGUGUAUGUUGGGACCCGAAAGAUGGUGAACUAUGCCUGAAUAGGGUGAAGCCAGAGGAAACUCUGGUGGAGGCUCGUAGCGAUUCUGACGUGCAAAUCGAUCGUCAAAUUUGGGUAUAGG
rnacentral:rRNA from 1 species